rnacentral:rRNA from 1 species
CCGAGAAUAUUCGACAAUGGGCGAAAGCCUGAUCGAGCGAUACCGCGUGGUGGAUGAAGUGCUUCGGCACGUAAACAUCUUUUAUGAGGGAGGAAGUUAUUGACGUUACCUCAUGAAUAAGGGGCUCCUAACUCUGUGCCAGCAGGAGCGGUAAUACAGAGGCCCCGAGCGUUACCCGGAAUUACUGGGCGUAAAGAGUGCGUAGGUGGUCGUGUUAGUCGUCUGUCAAAACCCCGAGCUCAACUCGGGAUCCGCGGGCGAAACGGCACGACUUGAGGGCGUGAGAGGUACAUGGAACUCUGGGUGUAGGGGUGAAAUCCGUUGAUAUCCAGGGGAACACCGAAAGCGAAGGCAAUGUACUGGCGCGUUCCUGACACUCAAGCACGAAAGCGUGGGUAGCGAACGGGAUUAGAUACCCCCGUAGUCC